rnacentral:rRNA from 1 species
GACGAACCGUCCUAACGUUGUUCGGAAUCACUGGGCGUAAAGGGCGCGUAGGCGGUCGGCAUAGUCAGGGGUGAAAUCUUUCGGCUUAACCGGAAAAGUGCCUCUGAUACUAGUCGACUAGAGCGAGAUAGGGGCAAUUGGAACUUCCGGUGGAGCGGUGAAAUGCGUUGAUAUCGGAAGGAACGCCGGUGGCGAAAGCGAAUUGCUGGAUCUCUUCUGACGCUGAGGCGCGAAAGCUAGGGGAGCAAACGGG